rnacentral:tRNA from 1 species
GUCGCGGUGGGCAUCGCGGCCCUGCUGCUGUGCGCGCUGGUGCCGCGUACCGCCGUCUCGCUGGGCUGCGGCGCGCUGUUCGGCGCGGUGGCCGGGGCG